AUUGAACGCUGGCGGCAGGCCUAACACAUGCAAGUCGAGCGGAGCGGCGGACGGGUGAGUAAUGCCUAGGAAUCUGCCUGGUAGUGGGGGAUAACGUCCGGAAACGGGCGCUAAUACCGCAUCCUAUCAGAUGAGCCUAGGUCGGAUAAGCUAGUUGGUGGGGUAAAGGCCUACCAAGGCGACGAUCCGUAACUGGUCUGAGAGGAUGAUCAGUCACAUUGGAAAUAAGACACGGUCCAGACUCCUACGGGAGGCAGCAGUGGGGAAUAUUGGCCAAUGGGCGAAAGCGUUAUCAAGCCAUGUCGCGGUGGUGAAGAAGGUCUUCGGAUUGUAAAGCAUUUGAAGUUGGGAGGCGUGACCAACAGAAUAAGCACCGGCUAACUUCGUGCCAGCAGCCGCGGUAAUAC
rnacentral:rRNA from 1 species